rnacentral:sRNA from 1 species
UACCAAAACAAGAUGUAAGAGAAAUGGG